rnacentral:lncRNA from 1 species
UUCCAUUUUGGGUCGAGAAGCCAUAGAAAACUCAAAAGAUCGCCACUCUUCUUGUGAGGAAACCAGCAAAGGGAGAAUGUUGUACUAUGUUACCCAAAGAGAGGAUCAAAAUUGCACUAAAACACAACACAAAGAAAGCAAAUUUUAAUCAGUUCAACNACAAGAUAAUAGAUGAAAGACUAAAUAAAGUUUAAACUGUAAG